rnacentral:RNase_P_RNA from 1 species
UGAGCUGGCUGGGUGACGGCCGGUUCCUUCGGGAACUGGAGGAAAGUCCGGACUUCGCAGGGCACAGCACCUGAUGCAAAUCAGGGCGGGGCGACCCGACGGAAAGUGCAACAGAGAGUAGACCGCCACGUUUCGGCGUGGUAAGGGUGAAACGGUGGGGUAAGAGCCCACCAGCGGCUUGGGUGACCAGGUCGGCUUGGUAAACCCUGCUGGAAGCAAGGCCAAAUAGGGAGGGGUUGAGGUGGCCCGCUGACCCUCCGGGUAGGCCGCAUGAGCUAAAUCGUCACACAAAGACAGAAUCCGGCUUAUAGGCCAGCUCAGUAC